rnacentral:rRNA from 1 species
AGAGUUUGAUCCUGGCUCAGAACGAACGCUGGCGGCGUGGAUAAGACAUGCAAGUCGAACGGGAUUUUCCGUUGUAGCAAUACGAUGGAAAGUCUAGUGGCGAACGGGUGCUUAACACGUGGGCAACCUGCCAUGAAGUGGGGGAUAGCUCGCCGAAAGGCGAAUUAAUACCGCAUGUGAUUAGAGAGGACAUCCUUUCGAAAUUAAAGUCGGGGCAACCUGACGCUUCUUGUGGGGCCCGCGGCCUAUCAGCUAGUUGGUGAGGUAACGGCUCACCAAGGCUUUGACGGGUAGCUGGUCUGAGAGGACGACCAGCCACACUGGGACUGAGACACGGCCCAGACACCUACGGGUGGCAGCAGUCGAGAAUUUUUGACAAUGGGGGAAACCCUGAUCGAGCGACGCCGCGUGGAGGAUGAAGGUCUUCGGAUUGUAAACUCCUGUCAUUGGGGAACAAUGCACAGAUAUUAACUGUAUUUGUGUUGAUAGUACCCGAAGAGGAAGAGACGGCUAACUCUGUGCCAGCAGCCGCGGUAAUACAGAGGUCUCAAGCGUUGUUCGGAUUCAUUGGGCGUAAAGGGUGCGUAGGCGGCGCGGUAAGUCGGGUGUGAAAUCUCGGAGCUUAACUCCGAGACUGCAUUCGAUACUGCCGUGCUUGAGGACUGGAGAGGAGACUGGAAUUUACGGUGUAGCGGUGAAAUGCGUAGAUAUCGUAAGGAAGACCAGUGGCGAAGGCGGGUCUCUGGACAGUUCCUGACGCUGAGGCACGAAGGUCAGGGGAGCAACGGGAUUAGAUACCCNNGUAGUCC